AUUGAACGCUGGCGGCAGGCCUAACACAUGCAAGUCGAACGAGUGGCGGACGGGUGAGUAAUGUCUGGGAAACUGCCUGAUGGAGGGGGCUAAAUACUGGAAACGGUAGCUAAUACCGCAUACCCUCAGAUGUGCCCAGAUGGGUUUAGCUUGUUGGUGGGGUAACGGCGCACCAAGGCGACGAUCCAUCGCUGGUCUGAGAGGAUGACCAGCCAGACUGGGACGGAGCCACGGGCAAGACGCCGACGGGAGGCUGCAGUGGGGAAGAGUGGAGAAUGGGCGCAGGCCUGAGGAAGCCAUGCCGCGUGUAUGAUGAAGGCCUUCGGGUUGGAAAGUACUUUCAGCGGGGAGGCGUUACCCGCAGAAGAAGCACCGGCUAACUCCGUGCCAGCAGCCGCGGUAAUAC
rnacentral:rRNA from 1 species